rnacentral:rRNA from 1 species
AUUGAACGCUGGCGGAAUGCUUUACACAUGCAAGUCGAGCGGCAGCACGGGGGCAACCCUGGUGGCGAGCGGCGAACGGGUGAGUAAUACAUCGGAACAUGCCCAGUCGUGGGGGAUAACACUUCGAAAGAAGUGCUAAUACCGCAUACGUCCUGAGGGAGAAAGCGGGGGAUCGCAAGACCUCGCGCGAUUGGAGUGGCCGAUGUCAGAUUAGCUAGUUGGUGGGGUAAAGGCCUACCAAGGCAACGAUCUGUAGCUGGUCUGAGAGGAUGAUCAGCCACACUGGGACUGAGACACGGCCCAGACUCCUACGGGAGGCAGCAGUGGGGAAUUUUGGACAAUGGGGGCAACCCUGAUCCAGCCAUUCCGCGUGAGUGAAGAAGGCCUUCGGGUUGUAAAGCUCUUUCGGCAGGAACGAAACGGCGAGCUCUAACAUAGCUUGCUAAUGACGGUACCCGAAGAAGAAGCACCGGCUAACUACGUG